rfam:Beta vulgaris subsp. vulgaris contig137624.1, whole genome shotgun sequence.
GAUCAAGCGACUAAGCGCAUACGGUGGAUGCCUUGGCAGUCAGAGGCGAUGAAGGACGUGGCAGCCUGCGAAAAGCACCGGUGAGUCGGCAGCAGACUUUGACCCGGUGAUGUCCGAAUGGGGAAACCCACUCCGCAAGGAGUAUCCUCACCUGAAUAUAUAGGGUGU